GGUUAUAUUAAGGUUGGACAUGAGCAUAAAGUGUAUAAACUAAAAAAGGCAUUGUAUGGUUUGAAACAAGCCCCACGGGCUUGGUAUGGUCGAAUUGAAGCCUAUUUCUUGAAAGAAGGUUUUCACAAAUGCCCCUAUAAACAUACAUUUUUUAUGAAAUUGGAGUAUGAUGGGAGGGUGCUCAUGGUCUGUCUCUAUGUAGACGAUUUAAUUUACACUGGUAAUGACAAGGGCAUGAUUGAUAAGUUUAAAGAGUCUAUGAUGAAUGAGUUUGAUAUGAGUAAUCUUGGAAUGAUGCGUUAUUUUCUUGGUAUAGAAGUGACUCAAUCUGCAGGUGGCAUUUUUAUUUCUCAAGAAAAGUACGUAGAAGAAGUCCUAGACAGAUUUCAAAUGAAAAAUUGCAACUCUGCGAGUACUCCAAUGGAUACAGGAAUGAAACUUGUCAAAGAUCCUGCAGGAAAGAGUGUUGACAGCACACUUUACAAACAGAUUGUUGGUAGCUUGAUGUAUGUAACCACUACAAGACCAGACAUUAUGUAU
rnacentral:misc_RNA from 1 species